UAUUGUGGUCUUAUGUCAGAGAAAAUGUUUUAUUGCAGUAUUCCUCCAUGUCACCAGGGGGCGUAGUGUUGCAAUCAGAGCUACUCAAAGAAAGAAAAAGCAUGUUUUAACCAUAGACUGCAAAAAAGUUUUACCCGAAACAUUUUAAAAGUUACUGCAAAUCACCUUUCAAUACAAGGGCUCAUAACUGCACAAUCUAAUGCUUUAUGGGUGCGUGAGAAAAACUGGAAACAAUUAUAUUGCAUUCACAACCCUUAUGAAACAGAAUGAUGUCCUUCCUUCUGGAGAAACAAUACAAGAGAUGAAAGAGCAGCUGACAGAAGUCAGACCAUCAUGAAUUUUCAGAGUGUAGGCCUACUUACUAUGGAGUGUCCAUUAAGAAGGUGGAGAGAUUUCAAGCAGACCAAACCAUU